rnacentral:rRNA from 1 species
CCUACGGGAGGCUGCAGUGGGGAAUAUUGGACAAUGGGGGCAACCCUGAUCCAGCCAUGCCGCGUGUGUGAAGAAGGCCCUCGGGUUGUAAAGCACUUUCAGUGAGGAAGAACGCCUGGUGGUUAAUACCCAUCGGGAAAGACAUCACUCACAGAAGAAGCACCGGCUAACUCCGUGCCAGCAGCCGCGGUAAUACGGAGGGUGCGAGCGUUAAUCGGAAUUACUGGGCGUAAAGCGCGCGUAGGUGGCUUGAUAAGCCGGUUGUGAAAGCCCCGGGCUCAACCUGGGAACGGCAUCCGGAACUGUCAAGCUAGAGUGCAGGAGAGGAAGGUAGAAUUCCCGGUGUAGCGGUGAAAUGCGUAGAGAUCGGGAGGAAUACCAGUGGCGAAGGCGGCCUUCUGGACUGACACUGACACUGAGGUGCGAAAGCGUGGGUAGCAAACAGGAUUAGAUACCCGGGUAGUC